AAAUUGAAGAGUUUGAUCAUGGCUCAGAUUGAACGCUGGCGGCAGGCCUAACACAUGCAAGUCGAGCGGUAGCACAGAGAGCUUGCUCUCGGGUGACGAGCGGCGGACGGGUGAGUAAUGUCUGGGAAACUGCCUGAUGGAGGGGGAUAACUACUGGAAACGGUAGCUAAUACCGCAUAAUGUCGCAAGACCAAAGUGGGGGACCUUCGGGCCUCAUGCCAUCAGAUGUGCCCAGAUGGGAUUAGCUAGUAGGUGGGGUAACGGCUCACCUAGGCGACGAUCCCUAGCUGGUCUGAGAGGAUGACCAGCCACACUGGAACUGAGACACGGUCCAGACUCCUACGGGAGGCAGCAGUGGGGAAUAUUGCACAAUGGGCGCAAGCCUGAUGCAGCCAUGCCGCGUGUGUGAAGAAGGCCUUCGGGUUGUAAAGCACUUUCAGCGGGGAGGAAGGCGGUGAGGUUAAUAACCUCACCGAUUGACGUUACCCGCAGAAGAAGCACCGGCUAACUCCGUGCCAGCAGCCGCGGUAAUACGGAGGGUGCAAGCGUUAAUCGGAAUUACUGGGCGUAAAGCGCACGCAGGCGGUCUGUCAAGUCGGAUGUGAAAUCCCCGGGCUCAACCUGGGAACUGCAUUCGAAACUGGCAGGCUAGAGUCUUGUAGAGGGGGGUAGAAUUCCAGGUGUAGCGGUGAAAUGCGUAGAGAUCUGGAGGAAUACCGGUGGCGAAGGCGGCCCCCUGGACAAAGACUGACGCUCAGGUGCGAAAGCGUGGGGAGCAAACAGGAUUAGAUACCCGGUAGUCCACGCCGUAAACGAUGUCGAUUUGGAGGUUGUGCCCUUGAGGCGUGGCUUCCGGAGCUAACGCGUUAAAUCGACCGCCCGGGAGUACGGCCGCAAGGUUAAAACUCAAAUGAAUUGACGGGGCCCGCACAAGCGGUGGAGCAUGUGGUUUAAUUCGAUGCAACGCGAAGAACCUUACCUGGUCUUGACAUCCACAGAACUUUCCAGAGAUGGAUUGGUGCCUUCGGGAACUGUGAGACAGGUGCUGCAUGGCUGUCGUCAGCUCGUGUUGUGAAAUGUUGGGUUAAGUCCCGCAACGAGCGCAACCCUUAUCCUUUGUUGCCAGCGGUCCGGCCGGGAACUCAAAGGAGACUGCCAGUGAUAAACUGGAGGAAGGUGGGGAUGACGUCAAGUCAUCAUGGCCCUUACGACCAGGGCUACACACGUGCUACAAUGGCAUAUACAAAGAGAAGCGACCUCGCGAGAGCAAGCGGACCUCAUAAAGUAUGUCGUAGUCCGGAUUGGAGUCUGCAACUCGACUCCAUGAAGUCGGAAUCGCUAGUAAUCGUAGAUCAGAAUGCUACGGUGAAUACGUUCCCGGGCCUUGUACACACCGCCCGUCACACCAUGGGAGUGGGUUGCAAAAGAAGUAGGUAGCUUAACCUUCGGGAGGGCGCUUACCACUUUGUGAUUCAUGACUGGGGUGAAGUCGUAACAAGGUAACCGUAGGGGAACCUGCGGUUGGAUCACCUCCUUACCUUAAAGAA
rnacentral:rRNA from 1 species